GUCCUUGUAGCUUAAAAACAAAGCAUGGCACUGAAGAUGCCAAGACGGCACACAUCUACCCACGGACAA
rnacentral:tRNA from 1 species